GCUAAAUAGUUGCGCGAAACUUAUGUUUCGUCGCUACUUCUUAGAGGGACUUUGUGUGUUAACACAAGGAAGCUUGAGGCAUAACAGGUCUGUGAUGCCCUUAGAUGUUCUGGGCUGCACGCGCGCUACACUGACACGAUCAACAAGUAUUUCCUUGCCCGGUAGGGUUAGGGUAAUCUUUUGAAAUCGUGUCGUGCUAGGGAUAGACGAUUGCAAUUAUUCGUCUUCAACGAGGAAUUCCUAGUAAAUGCAAGUCAUCAGCUUGCGUUGAUUACGUCCCUGCCCUUUGUACACACCGCCCGUCGCUCCUACCGAUUGAGUGAUCCGGUGAGCUGUCCGGACUGCGAUUAGUUCAGUUUCUGUUCUCUUCGCGGGAAGUUCUGCAAACCUUAUCACUUAGAGGAAGGAGAAGUCGUAACAAGGUUUCCGUAGGUGAACCUGCGGAAGGAUCAUUC
rnacentral:ncRNA from 1 species